GCGGGUGUGGUGUAACGGUAGCAUACGACCCUUCCAAGGUCUUGGCGUCAGUUCGAGUCUGAUCACCCGCU
rnacentral:tRNA from 2 species